rnacentral:rRNA from 1 species
UACAGAGGUCCCAAGCGUUGUUCGGAUUCACUGGGCGUAAAGGGUGCGUAGGUGGCUUGGUAAGUUUGAUGUGAAAUCUCCGGGCUUAACCCGGAAAUGGCAUUGAAUACUACUUUAGCUGGAGGUUUGGAGGGGGGACUGGAAUUCCUGGUGUAGCGGUGAAAUGCGCAGAUAUCAGGAGGAACACCGAUGGCGAAAGGCAGGUCUCUGGGGCCGAUACUGACGCUGAGGAGCGAAAGCGUGGGGAGCGAACAGG